UACUUCUUUCCUAACAAAAAAAGGCAGAAAUUCUGGCUGCAAAUCCCUCAGACAUAUCGCCUGUUGAAUGGACUGCUUUUGUGGAUCAUUAUAUGGAUCCUAAAACAAAGAAACAAUGUUUGCAAAACGCCAGAAAUCGUGAGAAGCUUAUAGUUUCACAUGCCGGUGGAAGUAAAAGCAAUGCUAGAAGAGUAACUCAGAUGGAGAAAAAUUGGGAAGGUCUGUAUGUCGAAGCGAGAUUAUUUUAUCAACUUUGCUAAAGAAAGAUGGGAGUUAUGUAAGCGGGGAAGGACAACGAUUAGCUGAAAAAAUAGCAGAGCAUUUGUCUGAAGAUCAAGAGCGUGCUGCCACUGAAGGUAUUCAUUCAAAAGUCUUGGCUCAUCCGGAUGAUGCAAUUGGAAAAGUUUGUGGUCUUGGGAAUGGUAAGUGAGUACGUGGCUUUAGUAAUGCUGCAUGUCCCAGUGGUUUUGGUAAGUCAAAGCGCAUCUUUGGAGGGGCAAUAUGCGGAGGUCCUAGCAGUACAUCGCAACAGCAUGUUGCAGAUUUAGAGAGGCAACUUCAAGAAGCUAA